AUCCUCCAAGGCUAAAUACUCCUGACUGACCGAUAGUGAACCAGUACCGUGAGGGAAAGGCGAAAAGAACCCCGGCGAGGGGAGUGAAAAAGAACCUGAAACCGUGUACGUACAAGCAGUGGGAGCAUCCUUCGGGGUGUGACUGCGUACCUUUUGUAUAAUGGGUCAGCGACUUAUAUUCUGUAGCAAGGUUAACCGAAUAGGGGAGCCGAAGGGAAACCGAGUCUUAACUGGGCGUUAAGUUGCAGGGUAUAGACCCGAAACCCGGUGAUCUAGCCAUGGGCAGGUUGAAGGUUGGGUAACACUAACUGGAGGACCGAACCGAC
rnacentral:rRNA from 1 species